rnacentral:lncRNA from 1 species
GAUUAAGAAAGAAGGAGGUUAUAAUAAUGCUUACCCUUCACUCUGCCUUGUGGGAGUUCCACAAAUACUGAAGGCUUGAUAUAGCCUCUUUCUUCCUUUGCUCAAUUGCAGUGUAUUGUUAUGUAUUUAAACUUAUAUACUCUUGGUGAGGAGAAUGUAUGGGCUAUAUUAUCUAAUUAUAAUUGAACAAAACCUCACAGCAAAGACAGUAUCGUAAAAUGAUUUUUCAAGAUAACUAUGAUAUGAAGACACUAUUACUAAUAAAAGAAACUACAAUGUAAGGUAAUUAUAACACACAUUUUGAGACUAAAAUGAUCACUAUCCAAACAUGUCAGUCUAGAAAUCAGGCAGAAAAUAUUGAAAUUGUGCAAAAGACUUAACAGUAAAUUUCACCACUGUGAUUUUCCUGAAAAACAUUCAGAAUUUAAAACAUAUAAGUGCCAAGCAUGUAGAAUAUGAAAACAAACUCUAUAACUAUAUAUAAUGUUUUAAUAGCAAGAAAGAAUUGUGUCUUAUAACAGUUGGUAGUAGUAGAAUUGAAAAUACUUGUUCUAUAAAUAUUCAGAGAAAAAUAACCCAUAAGGUUUACUCAGAGGUGGAAUAAAUAGUGUGAGUGAAUGUGANNNUUAAAGAACGAAGUCAAGGACUUGGGCCUGAAUGAUUAGAAGAAAGCUGUUUCAUUUCUGAGACUGGAAACACUAGGGGAGAGGCCGAUUUGAGAUGAGUAGUGCUCACUUGAGGAAGUGUUAGGUUUGAAGAGCCCUGAUAGAAUAGAGUGAAGUGGAAAUGUCAAGUAAACAGUUUUAUAUAUUUGGGAGUAAAGUUCAGGGUAGAACUUGUGCUUGAGAUAUACAUUUGAGAAUCAUUAUCAAAGUGGUACUAUUAAAACUCACAGGACUGAAUUAAAUAACUGAAAAUAUUUCUGAAAAAAGAGAUGUAUAAAGCCAAGACCUAGCACACACUUAGAGGUCUGGGAGAUGGGUAAGUAUUUAAAAAGGUGACUCACACAACAGGAUGUGAUAUGAAAGGGCAAAGAGAAUGGUACUCUGGAG